GAAUACACGUACACGAAUGUAAACACUCUAUAAUGGUAGUUGCAUCAAUGAAAUAUCCACCGCAUAAUUUACAUGUCAGUUGAUCGUUGAGUUUAGAUAGCCGUAAACGAUACCCUCCACUCUGACCUGACAUCCUAUAACAAGUUUAACAAUUUGCACAUUGGAAAUAUACUGAAAUGAAUUUUGAAACAAUCACACUUAAAUGUUACAAUGAAGAUAUUAAACUUACGUGUUAAAUGAUGAGAAAAUUUUUAUCUAAUAAUUGCCAUUUGAUUAAAGAAGUCACAAAAGUUGGAUCAGAACUCGAGAUGAUAUUUCAUGAAUCCUCAUAAUGAGAAAUUCAUUAUGAGGAACACUGAGUAAGUCCAGCAAAAGCAAAUCUCUUCCAACACAGAGAGUGUUAUCUGAUU